CCUGAAUCAGUGUGUGUGUUAGUGGAAGCGUCUGGAAAGGCGCGCGAUACAGGGUGACAGCCCCGUACACAAAAAUGCACAUGCUGUGAGCUCGAUGAGUAGGGCGGGACACGUGGUAUCCUGUCUGAAUAUGGGGGGACCAUCCUCCAAGGCUAAAUACUCCUGACUGACCGAUAGUGAACCAGUACCGUGAGGGAAAGGCGAAAAGAACCCCGGCGAGGGGAGUGAAAAAGAACCUGAAACCGUGUACGUACAAGCAGUGGGAGCACGCUUAGGCGUGUGACUGCGUACCUUUUGUAUAAUGGGUCAGCGACUUAUAUUCUGUAGCAAGGUUAACCGAAUAGGGGAGCCGAAGGGAAACCGAGUCUUAACUGGGCGUUAAGUUGCAGGGUAUAGACCCGAAACCCGGUGAUCUAGCCAUGGGCAGGUUGAAGGUUGGGUAACACUAACUGGAGGACCGAACCGACUAAUGUUGAAAAAUUAGCGGAUGACUUGUGGCUGGGGGUGAAAGGCCAAUCAAACCGGGAGAUAGCUGGUUCUCCCCGAAAGCUAUUUAGGUAGCGCCUCGUGAAUUCAUCUCCGGGGGUAGAGCACUGUUUCGGCAAGGGGGUCAUCCCGACUUACCAACCCGAUGCAAACUGCGAAUACCGGAGAAUGUUAUCACGGGAGACACACGGCGGGUGCUAACGUCCGUCGUGAAGAGGGAAACAACCCAGACCGCCAGCUAAGGUCCCAAAGUCAUGGUUAAGUGGGAAACGAUGUGGGAAGGCCCAGACAGCCAGGAUGUUGGCUUAGAAGCAGCCAUCAUUUAAAGAAAGCGUAAUAGCUCACUGGUCGAGUCGGCCUGCGCGGAAGAUGUAACGGGGCUAAACCAUGCACCGAAGCUGCGGCAGCGACGCUGAUGCGUUGUUGGGUAGGGGAGCGUUCUGUAAGCCUGCGAAGGUGUGCUGUGAGGU
rnacentral:rRNA from 1 species